rnacentral:sRNA from 1 species
UGGGAGUCAGCAAUGCUUAUUUCUAGCAUGAAACAUUAUUUGUAUGGUGAAUUUCCCAAAUGCUGUUUGACCUUGGAGUUGUUCAUUUAAUUAAAAAAACUUCAAUGCCUACUAUGUGCCCGGACCUCUUCUAGGUAGAGACGAUACAAGAGUGGUACAGAAGUGAACAACAUAGAUGGUGGAAUUGCACGACUUAGAGUAUUCGGUACUGGACAAAAAGACUGGACUGCAACUGACCCCAAAGAACCUGCAGACCUAGUGGCCAUCGCUUUUGGGGGUGUCUGUGUAGGAUUUAGUAAUGCUAAGUUUGGGCACCCAAACAAUAUAAUAGGAGCUGGCGGGGCAAAGUCUAUGGCGGAUGGUUGGGAAACUACAAGAAGGCUGGACCGGCCACCAAUAUUAGAAAAUGAUGAGAAUGGCAUUCUCUUGGUUCCGGGUUGUGAAUGGGCAGUUUUCCGAUUGGCACAUCCUGGAGUAAUAACUCGAAUUGAAAUUGACACAAAAUAUUUUAAAGGCAAUGCUCCUGACAGCUGUAAAGUGGAUGGGUGCAUCCUGACAACUCAAGAAGAAGAAGACGUGAUCAGGCAAAAGUGGAUUCUCCCGGCCCACAAGUGGAAACCACUGCUUCCAGUGACCAAGUUGUCUCCCAACCAAAGUCAUCUGUUCGAUAGCCUGACCCUGGAGCUCCAAGAUGUCAUCACUCAUGCCAGGCUCACCAUCGUCCC